UACGGAGGGUGCAAGCGUUGUUCGGAAUUACUGGGCGUAAAGCGCGUGUAGGCGGCCUUUUAAGUCUGAUGUGAAAGCCCGGGGCUCACCCCCGGAAGUGCAUCGGAUACUGGGAGGCUCGAGUACCGGAGAGGAGGGUGGAAUUCCUGGUGUAGCGGUGAAAUGCGUAGAUAUCAGGAGGAACACCGGUGGCGAAGGCGGCCCUCUGGACGGAUACUGACGCUGAGACGCGAAAGCGUAGGGAGCAAACAGG
rnacentral:rRNA from 1 species